CCCUAGCCCCGAUAGAAGCGGUAUCCUUUUAUGUCCGCCUCAGCGGCAUAAAAGAUAUAGCGGAUAGCGGGAAGCAGC
rnacentral:sRNA from 1 species